GACGAACGCUGGCGGCGUGCUUAACACAUGCAAGUCGAACGGAAAGGCCCUGCUUUUGUGGGGUGCUCGAGUGGCGAACGGGUGAGUAACACGUGAGUAACCUGCCCUUGGCUUUGGGAUAACUUCAGGAAACUGGGGCUAAUACCGGAUAGGAGCUCCUGCUGCAUGGUGGGGGUUGGAAAGUUUCGGCGGUUGGGGAUGGACUCGCGGCUUAUCAGCUUGUUGGUGGGGUAGUGGCUUACCAAGGCUUUGACGGGUAGCCGGCCUGAGAGGGUGACCGGCCACAUUGGGACUGAGAUACGGCCCAGACUCCUACGGGAGGCAGCAGUGGGGAAUACUGCACAAUGGGCGGAAGCCUGAUGCAGCAACGCCGCGUGCGGGAUGACGGCCUUCGGGUUGUAAACCGCUUUCGCCUGUGACGAAGCGUGAGUGACGGUAAUGGGUAAAGAAGCACCGGCUAACUACGUG
rnacentral:rRNA from 1 species